rnacentral:rRNA from 1 species
UAAUAUGGAGAGGCAUCUUGAUAUAUUUAAAGUUUCGACGGUACGGGAUGGGCAUGCGUAACAUUAGCUAGUUGGUAGGGUAACGGCCUACCAAGGCGACGAUGUUUAGGGGUCCUGAGAGGGUGAUCCCCCACACUGGUACUGAGACACGGACCAGACUCCUACGGGAGGCAGCAGUGAGGAAUAUUGGUCAAUGGGCGUAAGCCUGAACCAGCCAUCCCGCGUGCAGGAAGACGGCGCUAUGCGUUGUAAACUGCUUUUCCAGGGGAAGAAAACCUGAUACGAGUAUCGGCUUGCCGGUACCCUGGGAAUAAGCAUCGGCUAACUCCGUGCCAGCAGCCGCGGUAAUACGGAGGAUGCGAGCGUUAUCCGGAUUUAUUGGGUUUAAAGGGUGCGUAGGCGGAUUAAUAAGUCAGUGGUGAAAACCUUCAGCUUAACUGGAGACUUGCCAUUGAUACUGUUAGUCUUGAGUACGGUCAAGGUAGGCGGAAUGUGUAAUGUAGCGGUGAAAUGCUUAGAUAUUACACAGAACACCGAUUGCGAAGGCAGCUUACUGGACCGCAACUGACGCUGAUGCACGAAAGCGUGGGGAGCGAACAGGAUUAGAUACCCUGGUAGUCCACGCCGUAAACGAUGAUCACUCGCUGUUAGCGAUACACAGUUAGCGGCUAAGCAAAAGCAU